GACGAACGCUGGCGGCGUGCUUAACACAUGCAAGUCGAACGGAAAGGCCCUGCUUUUGUGGGGUGCUCGAGUGGCGAACGGGUGAGUAACACGUGAGUAACCUGCCCUUGACUUUGGGAUAACUUCAGGAAACUGGGGCUAAUACCGGAUAGGAGCUCCUGCUGCAUGGUGGGGGUUGGAAAGUUUCGGCGGUUGGGGAUGGACUCGCGGCUUAUCAGCUUGUUGGUGGGGUAGUGGCUUACCAAGGCUUUGACGGGUAGCCGGCCUGCGAGGGUGACCGGCCACAUUGGGACUGGGAUACGGCCCAGACUCCUACGGGAGGCAGCAGUGGGGAAUAUUGCACAAUGGGCGGAAGCCUGAUGCAGCAACGCCGCGUGCGGGAUGACGGCCUUCGGUUUGUAAACCGCUUUCGCCUGUGACGAAGCGUGAGUGACGGUAAUGGGUAAAGAAGCACCGGCUAACUACGUG
rnacentral:rRNA from 1 species